rnacentral:tRNA from 1 species
GGACAAUUAGCUCAGCUGGUAGAGCAUCCGCUUGACGUGCGGAGGGUCAGCGGUUCGAGUCCGUUAUUGUCCACCA